rnacentral:rRNA from 1 species
UACGUAGGUGACAAGCGUUGUCCGGAUUUACUGGGCGUAAAGAGCGCGCAGGCGGUCGUUCAAGUCGAGUGUGAAAGCCCCCGGCUCAACUGGGGAGGGUCACUCGAUACUGAUCGACUUGAAGGCAGGAGAGGUAAGUGGAAUUCCCGGUGUAGCGGUGAAAUGCGCAGAUAUCGGGAAGAACACCAAUGGCGAAGGCAGCUCGCUGGGACGGUACUGACGCUGAGGCGCGAAAGCGUGGGGAGCAAACAGG